rnacentral:rRNA from 1 species
AAUACAUCGGAACGUGCCUAGUAGUGGGGGAUAACUACUCGAAAGAGUGGCUAAUACCGCAUGAGAUCUACGGAUGAAAGCAGGGGAUCGCAAGACCUUGUGCUACUAGAGCGGCCGAUGGCAGAUUAGGUAGUUGGUGGGAUAAAAGCUUACCAAGCCGACGAUCUGUAGCUGGUCUGAGAGGACGAUCAGCCACACUGGGACUGAGACACGGCCCAGACUCCUACGGGAGGCAGCAGUGGGGAAUUUUGGACAAUGGGCGCAAGCCUGAUCCAGCAAUGCCGCGUGCAGGAUGAAGGCCUUCGGGUUGUAAACUGCUUUUGUACGGAACGAAAAGCCCUGGGUUAAUACCCUGGGGUCAUGACGGUACCGUAAGAAUAAGCACCGGCUAACUACGUGCCAGCAGCCGCGGUAAUACGUAGGGUGCGAGCGUUAAUCGGAAUUACUGGGCGUAAAGCGUGCGCAGGCGGUUUUGUAAGACAGAGGUGAAAUCCCCGGGCUCAACCUGGGAACUGCCUUUGUGACUGCAAGGCUAGAGUACGGCAGAGGGGGAUGGAAUUCCGCGUGUAGCAGUGAAAUGCGUAGGUAUGCGGAGG